GAUGAACGCUGGCGGCGUGCCUAAUACAUGCAAGUCGAGCGAACAGACGAGGAGCUUGCUCCUCUGACGUUAGCGGCGGACGGGUGAGUAACACGUGGAUAACCUACCUAUAAGACUGGGAUAACUUCGGGAAACCGGAGCUAAUACCGGAUAACAUGUUGAACCGCAUGGUUCAACAGUGAAAGACGGUCUUGCUGUCACUUAUAGAUGGAUCCGCGCCGCAUUAGCUAGUUGGUAAGGUAACGGCUUACCAAGGCAACGAUGCGUAGCCGACCUGAGAGGGUGAUCGGCCACACUGGAACUGAGACACGGUCCAGACUCCUACGGGAGGCAGCAGUAGGGAAUCUUCCGCGAUGGGCGAAAGCCUGACGGAGCAACGCCGCGUGAGUGAAGAAGGUCUUCGGAUCGUAAAACGCUGUUAUUAGGGAAGAACAAAUGUGUAAGUAACUAUGCACGUCUUGACGGUACCUAAUCAGAAAGCCACGGCUAACUACGUG
rnacentral:rRNA from 1 species